UUGCUCCAGACAACAUGAUUUAGCACAGAACAGUUUCAUGAGAUUUUUUAGAGUUACAGAACAAAAGAAAAAUCACAAGGCUUCUUGUUUUUCAAGUCAGUGAUGGAGACACCAGGUGCAGACUUUGCUGCAAUGGUGGGAAGUCACAAAAAAACCCCAUUGGUCUCAGGGUGAAGAGUUGGAAGAGAAGAUACAAGACAAUUUCCUUUGAUGUUAAAGUUUUCCGAAGUGACUGCCUCACUCUUCCCAGUCCCACCCCCUGUGCCCUGGUAU
rnacentral:lncRNA from 1 species